ensembl:lncRNA
GGUUGUGGCUAGAAAUAGGAUUAAUUGACCAUAUACAUUAAUUCAAGUGAAGGUAUUAAUAUUUUUUAUUAAUUAGGUAUAUUACAUUCAAAUAUUAAGACAAAUAUGGUAUAGAGAUUAUUUUGGGACAGUUGACUUUUCCUAGGAACUGUUCCAAAAACACCAUGUUGACAAAUUGACUAAAGUUAAAAUAUAUGGCUAAAAAACAUGUUAGUCAGUCGACACUGCAGUCCCCAAAUGUAGCUGUUAUCUCAUUUUAAGAAAUGAGGAAAUUGAGUUUAUAGUCCCUUUGUACCCUCUAAGUUGGCUGCUAUCGGUGAAAGUUGAGUUUGCAUUUCUUUCAUGUUGCCCUUCUUUUUAUAAAUACUCAGGUAAGGAAGGCUCCAACUCCUAAAAGGAACCCCUAGGCCAGUUAAUUGAAAAACAUAGAUCCUAUCCCAACAGAGUUAUGUCACACCAACUUUGGAGGUGAUCAGUUCUAAUUGAAUAAUGCAGUAAACACAUCAUGUCUCUUGGGUAAAAGGAAUAGAGGCCUUUGUGAAAAAUGAAAAUGGCUGUAAGUCAUUAGGGUUAGAUGUGCCUCUGCAUGAAUCGACCAUUGCUUUGAUUGCAUUUUCAUUGUUGUGAGAUUUUAAGCUUCAUUGAGAUAGGAGGAUAUUAAUGAACUUCUCAUAUUUGUACACUAACCUUUCCCCUAGGAUGAAAAGUGGAAAUCCUUUCAGUUUCCUUCUAAACUUUCUUUCUUUAACAUAGGUCAGAGAAAUAAAAUAAAAUUCACGUGGGAGGUUAUUAGCAAACAGAUAUUGCCCUUUAAAAAUAAAUAGCAGAAUAGGACACUGAAAGUCGACUAUAGGAACAAUGAAAUGAAUGGAAGUAUGGUCCUUGUUUCUAAGUAAUGGUGAUUUAGAGGUCACUUUGCAAUGAGCUAAUAUAUGAGAGCCACAAAGCUAAGCUUUUCGUUAGGUAGAGAAGCUGAAAUGAUCUUACAGAUUAAAGAGAGAGCAUAUGAGACCCAUGAGGGCAGUUUAUGUCUCUUUCAAUUCUUUUUGUUUUGCUCUUCAUUUUAUCCUGAGGCUUCCCUCUUUUGCAAUGUAGAGGCCAGAAACAUUGACCCUUCUUUAGUAAUAAAGAGACUUCCACUUACGAGGUGCUAUGAAGGGGAGACAGGAAGGUGAGGAAGAGUGUAAUUGUGAAUUGAAAGGGCCUGUCUAAUGUUGGUUCAUUUCCCUGGCACAGUGGGGAUGGGUUGGGAGGGUGACAUUUCCCUUCAUCCUGCCCCACAGUGUGCUAACAGGUCUCUGAAAGCCUGCUCUGCAAUUUUAAGCAAGUUCGAUGGGAGGCAUAGGUGAUAAAACCGAGUGCACUACAAUUCACAGGAGUAGAGCAAGACCAGCAUUACAAAAGGCCUCACUCAUCUUCAAGAAGUCACUCUUUUUUGGUUUUCUGAUCCCAGUUCACAGGUCAUAGAAUAAAAAAAAGGACUCAUGUCCCUCAGCCUGGACUGAAACUAGAAAGAAUGUAAACUUUGAAAUGAUGUAAAAUACAGGGAGUGAAAUCAAAUUAUUGAAUGCUAGAGACAACUCUGAUAAAAUCUUCUUGGCUUAAGGGAUGAGGUACAGUUAAACAAAUGGUCUGGCAGGGCUCUAUAGGGACAAAGCUGAAGGCUGAUCAAGGAGUCUUCUCAGAAAUGAUUCAAUCCAUCAUUUAUCCACAACUAAUCUAGGUUUUGGGGUUGGGGCUGAAGUCUUCUUACCUUUCAUGGGUGAGAAAAUUUCUUCCCAGAGGAUGUUUUAUUCUUUAUAGUCCGUGUAUAAAAUUUGCAUUUGACUUUCACUCAGAAGUGCUUCUAAAAUGAUGUAUUUUGUUAAAUGAAGCACUGAAGGAUGUUUUGUUCUAAGAACUUAUUUUAAUGACAAUGUCUUUUUUCUGUCACCUUUUCCCUAUGUCUUCCAUUAUCCUUCUCUGAAAGCAGGAUACAAAACCCUACUAUAAUAUGCCUAUGGAAUUCUCAGUAGGACAAAAAUUAUCGUCCUUCUACUAAUUGCUGUAUUAUUGGUUCUGUUCGGGUUCAUGCAGAAUAAUUGACUUUGGGUUGAAUAUUUUAAAUUAAAAUCUUUGUAACAUUAGCUUUUUAAAAUUUUCAGGAUGGGAGAAAUUACUCGCAAGAGUAAAGUUCAUGAGACGAUGGGUAAAAACAAGGUUUAGGUGCAAGGAUACCAAUUCAGUAAAUGCAGCUUGUUGUUCACUCAUCUUGCAGGAUUUAUUUCUUUUAUUCUUUUUUUUUUUAACUGAAAAAUGAUGCUGUGGGAAGGAAGAGUUUGACCAACUUAUUUCUUGGUCAACCAAGGAUUCGAUACAAGAGGGGAGAAUCUUUCAGCUUCCACAGAUCUUUCUGGGUCUUGAACAGCAGGAAAGAAAACAAACAAGGAAAUAUUUUUCAACACCUCUGAUGGAGUUGCCAAGAUAAAAUACUUAUUAAUAAAAAAUACUUGUCUUAGAAUUCCACAUGCAGCCAUAAGACUAAGAAUUUCAAUCUUUCACAAAUAAGAAUUAUAGAAAUGAUUUAUACCUGUAUAGUACUUUGACAAUUUAAGGACAUAUACAUUAGAAUCAUUAAAUAUCUUUUGACAUUACAACUUUUUUUGAGAAAAAUAAGCCAGGUAUUGUGGCCAUUAAAGAAAAAAAAAGAAAAAAA